CAGCAGCCACGGUAAAACGUAGGUGGCGAGCGUUGUCCGGAAUUAUUGGGCGUAAAGGGAGCGCAGGCGGGCGAGUAAGUCUUUCUUAAAAGUGCGGGGCUCAACCCCGUGAGGGGAGAGAAACUACUCAUCUUGAGUGCAGGAGAGGAAAGCGGAAUUCCUAGUGUAGCGGUGAAAUGCGUAGAUAUUAGGAAGAACACCAGUGGCGAAGGCGGCUUUCUGGACUGUAACUGACGCUGAGGCUCGAAAGCCAGGGGAGCGAACGGGAUUAGAUACCCCCGUAGUCCCUGUCUCUUAUACA
rnacentral:rRNA from 1 species